rnacentral:rRNA from 2 species
UGGCUCAAACGAACGCUGGCGGCAGGCCUAACACAUGCAAGUCGAGCGCCCCGCAAGGGGAGCGGCAGACGGGAGAGUAACACGUGGGAACGUGCCCUUCAGUUCGGAACAACCCAGGGAAACUUGGGCUGAUACCGGAUACGUCCGUAAGGAGAAAGAUUUAUCGCUGAAGGAUCGGCCCGCGUCUGAUUAGCUAGUUGGUGGGGUAACGGCCCACCAAGGCGAGCGAUCAGUAGCUGGUCUGAGAGGAUGAUCAGCCUCACUGGGACUGAGACACGGCCCAGAGACCUACGGGAGGCAGC